rnacentral:piRNA from 1 species
UACACUGCAGGAUAAAGACAAAACCGCA